UACAUGGGUUGUCGUCGAUUAGCACCCUAAACUAUACAAACCUACAAUCAGCCCCCCCUAACUUUCUAUCUCAUCAAUCAUCCCCACAAACUCACAAGUUCAUCGAUUGUCCACAAUUUCAUUUAAUCUGACUCAAAUCGCGUUUUGUCUUUUAAAUGGCGUUUAAAAAAAAGAUUGCCCAAUUCCAUAACCCGAUUAAUAAUAAAUCCGACCCUACAACUAUGACCCGAUUCCCAUUUAAAAAAGGUUUGUCGUGAAAUCUUCUUCUUCUUAAAUUAGGGUUCUAUCACUGAUUUGGGGAAACUGAAAUCGCGACCAUGGAGCAAGCGAAAUCUGGGUAAGUUUUCAAGUUUUUGAAUUCUUUCUCCAUUUAUUAUAUUUAUAAGUGUUCUUAUAGUCUGUCGUUUACGUUUCUGGGAAAAAUCGAAGAUGGUGUGGAAACUUAAAAACUGAAGGUUCUUGUUCAAGGCGAAACAGAGAGUCUCAUCAGGGUGUUCCAACACGGUGCUGGUGUGGAAAUCGCAUUGCUACAUUUGUUUCGAAGACAAAGAAGAAUCCUUUUAGGAGAUUCUAUCGUUGUGAAGUCGCUAUGCAGAGAAAAGGUGAAGCUCAUCUGUUCAAGUGGGUUGACGAAGCUUUGGUUGAGGAGGUUUCUUUGGUUGAAGCUAGACAAAGAACAGUUGAAGAAGAUUUGGAAGCUUUGGUUAAGACAGAGAAAAGUGAAGAAGCAGCGGUUUUGGAGAACAAUGGAUGUCUAAGUGCCAUAACAUGGUUGUGUUGUAAAUUUUGGUAAUUGUCAGUGUUAGUAGAAUGGUUUUGUAACAAGGAUUUGUGUCAUGUGCUAGAACAUCUUUUGUAUCAACUCGGUUCAAGUUUCAGAACACUUUUCAUAUGCUUUUAAAUUCACACA